rnacentral:tRNA from 1 species
GAGGAUGUAGUUCAGUGGCAUGAGCACCUGCCUGGCAAGCAAGAGGUUGUGAGUUCGAUCCCUGGCAUCCUCC